rnacentral:misc_RNA from 1 species
GUAUUCGUAAUACAAAAUGAUCACUUAGCAUUUUAUCUACAGUAAGACAAUUUAUCAAACAAGCAUAAUCUAAUGUCCCUCCCCGCAGAUGAGUAGGAGAGGGCUCGCCCAGCUGUUGAGCAUCUUCAUGUUCCUACAAUAACUGGUACUAUCUGCAACCAUUACUAUUUUCUUUACCCCUUGAUCUUAAAGCUGGAUGCCUGGCAUUAAAAUUACCUACGACAAGCGUAUCUUCAGAAAAGAAGGAAUCUGGCAAGUAUCUUAAAUCAAAGGAGUUAUCAGAGAUGUAUAAAUUAAUUAAAUUUAACUCUCGGUCUUGUAACUGUAUCCGCAAACUAAUACUUUCAAUGAACAAAUCCACAAAUCCCUUGUGGAUUUGUUCAUUUGAUGCAUCACGUUAGUGUGAUUUCUGUGUGUAAUACUUUCAAUACCUCUAUAUCUCUGAGGAAUCCCAGUUAUCUAAGCAAGUAUGGUACUUUUGGCAUAACAUGAGACUCCCCUAAUUCCUCCACCGUCUUGGUUAAAAAAGUUUUCACUUAUAAAGGUUAUAAGUGAAAACCUUUAUAGCCAUUUAGCCUCAGAAUGCUACCAUCCCUAUCCCCAGUUUCCUGGAGCGCUACUAUGUCAAUAUUCUCUCUAAAAUUAUAAUAAUGUACAUCCACUGUUUUAGUUUUUAACCCAUUAACGUGAACGUGCUAGGUGAACAGGGAUAUCAGGGUGAAAGAAAUUGCCCAUUUGUUUCCGCCAUCGCCGGGAUCGAUCCCCGGUCCCUAGGAUUACAAAUCCCGAGCGCUCUCCACUUAGCCACCAAGCCUCCUUGAUGAGCUAGUUUCAUAAUUAAUAUGUUUAUCUGUGUAUAUAUCUUCCGGGAAAUAAGAAGUGGGGGGUACAUUAGUCUGUGAGCCGUUGUUGUUAUAGAUCCAGCUACUAGGAACAAGUUCCAAGUAGCACGGGCUAUGGUGAGCCCGUAACUUACCUGGCACAGGAGCAGGGCAAAUAACACGGGCUAUGAUGAGCCCGUAGUGGACUUACCUGGCACAGGAGUGGUACCGUCAGUGUGUGUGAGCCGGUGAAUUGGUGUAAAUAUCUCUAUACGAGUCCCUAAGUCCUUGAAGGCUUGGCUGUUCAUAGGUCCCCUACCCCAACCACACCCCAAUCCCCCCAUCCUGCCUUCCCUCCUUUAAAUAGUUGCCAAGCCGUCUAUAAUACAUGUGUCCGCAUAAGACCAGUUUUAGUUUAAAUUCACAUUGUUUAUUUUGAAUCAACUCCUCGUUGACAUGUAUCAUAAUAAUAAAGGAGAGAGGGGAAAGUAUCAAAUUCAAGGGAUUAUUAUUAGUUGGUAAUUCUUGUCUAGCAAUAGUGUGUGUGUGUGUGCGUGCGCAGCCUCCAUGCGCACAUGCAGGCCGUCCUGACGUCACGUUGUGCUUACUCUCAGUGUCUCAACUGCUGGUGACGUGGAGAUACGUUGUGUUACGCUCUCCCAGGUUUACACAGUGAUUGUUACCGUCAUUUAUUUUGUGAACACUCGCUAAAGGCUUGGCGAACACUGUCGGGGUCAGCUUUGGUAAUGACGACGAUGUUGGUGGCUGUUGGUGUGAUUUGGGCAGUGGUAGGAGUCGUGUAUGGGGCCGAGCUGGCUCCUUCAGAAGUGGUAAAUUCCCCGCAAAGGACAGUGCCUCCUGCUGAGGUUCUCCGUCCCCAAU